rnacentral:rRNA from 1 species
AUUAUUAAGAGUUUGAUCCUGGCUCAGGAUGAACGCUAGCGGUAUGCUUAACACAUGCAAGUCGUACGGAAAAGUAAUUUUUAGUGGCGAAC